UGGUGACCAUUUUAAAGUUACUUGUUAGUGUAACUUAAAACCUAACUACUUUAAUCAUCAUUCCAGAUGGGAGAGAGACAUUGUUUUCAAUAACCAGACAAUGGAUCAGGCCGUGAUAGGGGUCCAAUUUAUGAGUUGAGAUGCACGAUUUAGUAAAUUAUUUAUUGUAUGAAAUGCUAUAUUAUAUAUACUUUCCUACACAAAACAAAUGAUUAAUUACAGAAGGUUUUAUAUAAAUGCAUUUAAUAAGAAUUAUAACUCAACUGGUCUUAAAUGGUUUCUCCGCCCCUCUAUUAAACAUGGUACAUUCCUCAACUGGGUGGUGAAAUUUGAAAGCUAACGGAACGGUCUUCAUCGACAUCUCUCUCGCUUGCUGCACCCUUUGUUGUUGUGAUGUCCUCCUUUUGUUCAGUAAUAAUUGGGGUAAUAAUCGCAAACUGAUAUUUUAUUGAAAUGGUUAAUACCUGUAGCAAUGUCUAUGUACUAGUUAAAUGGACGUUCUUCCGUUGAAACUCAACCUAGCCUAGGAUAGCCGCUAGGCCUACUAUUCUGUUGCCAUUUGGAAAAAAAGAAGAGUGCGCAACAUGCCAAGGUCUCUAGGCCUAUGCACAGUCAGUAUUGUGAUUGACAUUGGCAAUGGUUUACUUAUAGAAAAGGACCAGCUCAUAGCCAUCUCUCAGAUAAGCGAUGGGGCACGAGGCAUAUUCAAAAUUUGUUUGUUAUUGUUUCCGAUGCAUGAAGUGAUAGGGAAGAAAAGCAAGGCACAUGUGGAACAUCGGUAGAGAAAGAGCGUUUGGAUCCCAUCUGAAUUACUGUCAUAACAGAUUUCCUGAGGCUUCAACUACUCUUUUGAGGCAGUCUCUGCCAAACAGAAUAAAGAAAAUAAACAAGCCUAAAAAUUGGGAAUACCAUGUAUGCAUUUUUGUUAUUAAAUUUGUUAUUUAACUUUAAUUCCAAACUUCGUUUUAUUAGAUUUGUGUAGUAUUUUAUUAUAUUUGAUGUUUCAGUGUGUAGGCCGUCUUAAAGUUAGGUUCAGAAAAGUUUUGUUUUU